GACUUCCUGCUGGGAUGUUAGACAAAGAAGAAAUGUUUCACUUCAGUCUCACUUGUGGCUUAUAAUGGUCACUUGCAGGAAAUCCAAUAUUCUUACUAUUAUUGAUCACAACCUUCAACGGCAAAAGAAGAAAAAGAAAUUCAGAAAUGUCUUUACUGGAAUCUAGGGAUGGAUGGGAAUUUUCCUUCUAUUUUGAAGAAAAUCUGGAACAAACAUGGAAGUGAUUUUACCCUCUUAGCCCUUCCCUUUGCCCACUUGCUACCAUCCGGGUCUAGAAGGUUAAGGCACUGGAGGAAGAAGGAAGGAAGGAAGGAAGGAAAAAAGGGAGGAAGGUUAAUUCCAUCCAUGCUUGGCUGAAGCCGAAGGAAGAGACACAGCUGAAGACCUACAUUCAAGACCAAGCAGUUCCCUGGAAAGGAAGCACGCUUUGAACGCAAGAGGAACACAAGGUACCAUAAUGCAUCGGUUCUCACUGUUCCCAUCUUUUAACCUGGCAAUGCAGGCUGCGGCUGGUUGCCUGAAUUGGAGCUGAGAAGGAAUUUUUCCCCGUCAACCCCAAAUUGGCUCUGGGUGGAAACGGGUUUUUUGCCUUCUCUGCAUUGCCUUCCUCCUGUUUGCUGCAAAUCUCCUUUGAUUUGCACUUCAGGAGGAGUUAAAAAAUGGGUUUCCCCAGGAGGAAGAAUGGAUCCUCUCUUUGUUCAAUAAAGUACACCAAUACAUGCUCAAAUAA